rnacentral:rRNA from 1 species
CACGUAGGGCGCAAGCGUUGUCCGGAAUUAUUGGGCGUAAAGAGCUCGUAGGUGGUUUGUCGCGUUGUUCGUGAAAACCGAGGGCUUAACUCUCGGCGUGCGGGCGAUACGGGCAGACUGGAGUACUGCAGGGGAGACUGGAAUUCCUGGUGUAGCGGUGGAAUGCGCAGAUAUCAGGAGGAACACCGGUGGCGAAGGCGGGUCUCUGGGCAGUAACUGACGCUGAGGAGCGAAAGCGUGGGGAGCGAACAGG